GCUACCCUGUGGCAGGCAGAAGAGAAAGCACAGGAAGUACAAGCUGGGGUGACUUGCCACUCCUGGGACCCCCAGUGAGCAGUGGGGGGCUAGAAAUUGUGUCGAGCUGAAAUAUGGUGAGCGACGACGCUGACCAAAUGGCUUUUCCUCCAGCAGUAGUGAGGAGUGAUCCAAGAGAACAACGGGCUUGAAAUGUUACUCCUGUCUGGCUGGCACUGAGGCACAUUCUGUGGGGCUUCGACGUGAAGUGCCUGGGUGCUGAAGUCAGCCUGGACUGACACUGGCUCCCCCAGGAUUGGGGAGGUCACUCCAGGUCUUCUACUCAACCCCAGAUGUUGUUUUCUCACCUGUGAUGUGGAGAGAGUGAUAAUCCUACCAUAAGGCUUGGAAGAAACUAGGGCUGAAUUAUAAAGUGGCCUACUCAGAAGAUAUGGAUGAACAGUUUUCUAAAGAGAUAUGCAUGGCCCACAGAUGCACUUCACUCAUCAUUAGAGAAACACAAAUGAAAAACCACGUUGAGAUUCUAACUCACACCAGUGAGAAUGGCCAACAGCAACAAAACAGGAACUGCUAAGUGUUGGUGAGUAUGUGGAAAAAGAGGAACUCUGUUAUACUGUUGGUGCAACCAUUAUGGAAUAGGAAGAACUGUUAAACAAACACAGGUGGGGAUAACUGAUGACCCAGCAAUACCACUCUUAAGCAUUUAUCCAACAGAUAACAAAGUGUUAAUUCUCAAAGGGAUGCAUGCAGCCUCGUGUUCAAAAUCACUCAUGAUCAUCAAAAUACAGAAGCAACUUAAAUGCCUGUCGAUUGGUGACUAGAUAAAGAACAUAUGGGACUUAUAUUCAAUGGAAUACUACUUGGCAAUUUAAAAAGAUAGUAUUGUGUCCUUCAGAACCAACCGGAUGAAACUGGAGGUGAAGUAAGGAAAUAAAGUAAGGAAGGAGGUGAAAGACAACUGCCAGAUGGUUUCACUCUUAUGUAGAACAUAAAGAAUUUAAAUACAUGAGCUUGAAAAACAAAACAAACAAACAAAAACCUCAGUAAACAGCCUGUCUCUAAAACUGCAGAGGACCUAUAGUGGCUAUUAUUGGGGGUAGGGGUCGAGGUGGGAACAGAACUUUGGUUGGAGUGAUGUGGAACUACACCCCUAUUGUCUUAAAAUUGUCUAAGUCACUAAUAAAUAAAUAAUUUUUUAAAUGCCCCACCGUAGACCACACUGGCCUGUCCGUGAGCUAGGUCUUCAAUGUCCCUUAGGCAGAUUUCCCAGAAUCAGGUGAGGUGGAGUUGAGGAGAAGCUGCCCCAGAGACAACUCCCCAGGACUGUUUGCUGAGAAAAAUACACAAGCAUAUCAUCUUGAGCAUUCUAGUAAUUACUCUCAGCUAGACAGACUCAGAGCAGAAUCUGCUAUGCUGUUGGAUUCAUGUUGCAGAAUCCCAUCACUUGGAUCUCUGUUUCUGUAUUUCUUCGAUUCCCUACAGAUGAGGUCAGAAAUCAAAACAGUUUGGCACAAGGUAGAAAAGUAAGGUUAGCUAGAGAGGUUGCAGAUUUAGCAAGGCGCUCUCAUUGUGGCUGGGCAUGGGGAGUGGAGGUGAAUAUCCAAAAAUAAAUCUGGUUUUCUGGUGGGGGGAGAUUAAGCUGAGUGACUGAGAGACAAUCUGAAUGUGGAUUUCAUUUAAUGCUGGAAUGAAAGUUGUUCGGGGAUAAAGAGACACAAGUGAUUUGCGUUUGGUCCAUGUGUGGCCAAGGUGGGUCUUUUCACCCAGAGGCCAAGGACACAUGCAUCAUCCCAUGGUCAGCUGGGCUGUCAGAGGGGUGGCUUAUGUGUCCAACCUUUGGAGUCAGGAUUGCUUUUCACAGGAACAGUGCACCAGUACUGUACUAGCAUGCUAGGCAUCCACUCAUCAUCCAUCCAGUCACUGGGCAGUCACUGCAGGCCUACUGCGUGCAGGCAUUCUGGCAGGUAAUUGAGCAUGAUAUUAGAGUCCUGUGAAUAUCAGGGACAAAAUAACAAUAUAUAAUUCAGGGCUUACCAGUGCAAUACAUUAACAAGAUAGAUUAGAGAGUGGCAUUCGAUUCUGAAGUUUUUCAUUAUUUGUGGGUAAGGCAUGUGUGUGUGGGUGGGCGUGCGCUUAAUGCGUAAUUUAAUCAGCAGUGCAAAGGCACCGCACAUGGAGUUGAGGCUCUGCAGAGCACACCUCCACCACUGCUAUUCAUUUAAUGAAUACUCUUGGGCACUUUUUAAAUUGAAAGAUGGUUCAUUAGAUCUGUGCAUCUGCCCUUCUCAGCAAUCUGUUGUGUUUCUGGUGGAGGCAGGAGAAAACAUGAACUUAUCAUUUUUAGGGAUGUUAUGAGUAACUCAGCUUCCAAUGAUUACAGAGUCAUAAAGGGCUCAGGGAGCCUAAUUUAAGGAAAACAAUUUGACUGAA